UGUAGGGGGGCCGGUGUUGCCGGCUGAGAUUGCAUCCGUAAGAUGCUGACUCUUGGAACCUGAUCUGGUUGAGACCAGCGGAGGGAACAUGUU
rnacentral:ncRNA from 1 species